rnacentral:misc_RNA from 1 species
AAGGAGCACCCGUGUAGUUCUCUGCGGAUGUUCUCGUGUGCCGUCCUCGUGGCGGACGCGGGACGACGGCGGAGACGGACGCGGGAGAGGGUGCAGAGCCUCGGCCGUCGAACACGGCGUGUUCUCCGGGUUCGGAAGCUUCAUGGAACCGUGGAGCACUGGCUACUCAACCCCACCGGACGUUCGGGUCCGGUCAGUACUAUCCGCUACCCCCUUCACGGGGGUGCCCGCCUCGGUCCCUCGGGAUCGGGGUCGUGCAUCGCCUCCCCUUUCGCGGGGGUGCGGGGUGCGGGGUGUGGAACCUCCGGUUGUUCGGGGGUCUGGUGGGUUGGACACACUGUUGGGUCCUGAGGAAACGGACCCGGUCUUUUCGGCCUCGGGCCGUCGGAUGCCCCUCGUGUUCGGGGGUGUUGUUCGGCGGCCGGUCCGAUGAGAUGUCUCUCUUCGUCGUUCUGUUCUUCCGCUGUGGCGGGAGGUGGGGUGUCGGAGGGGUGGGGUUGGUUUCUUCUGGUUGUUGCGGGGCCAUGGCCCGCCCUUGUCGGGGUGUGGUGUGGUCGCUGGUUGUUUUUUGUGAACUGCAUAGUGGACGCGAGCAUCUUUGAUCGCUGAUUUGU